GGUGAACCUGCGGAAGGAUCAUUACCGAGUGCGGGUCCUUUGGGCCAACCUCCCAUCCGUGUCUAUUAUACCCUGUUGCUUCGGCGGGCCCGCCGCUUGUCGGCCGCCGGGGGGGCGCCUUUGCCCCCCGGGCCCGUGCCCGCCGGAGACCCCAACACGAACACUGUCUGAAAGCGUGCAGUCUGAGUUGAUUGAAUGCAAUCAGUUAAAACUUUCAACAAUGGAUCUCUUGGUUCCGGCAUCGAUGAAGAACGCAGCGAAAUGCGAUAACUAAUGUGAAUUGCAGAAUUCAGUGAAUCAUCGAGUCUUUGAACGCACAUUGCGCCCCCUGGUAUUCCGGGGGGCAUGCCUGUCCGAGCGUCAUUGCUGCCCUCAAGCCCGGCUUGUGUGUGGGGUCGCCGUCCCCCUCUCCGGGGGGACGGGCCCGAAAGGCAGCGGCGGCACCGCGUCCGAUCCUCGAGCGUAUGGGGCUUUGUCACAUGCUCUGUAGGAUUGGCCGGCGCCUGCCGACGUUUUCCAACCAUUCUUUCCAGGUUGACCUCGGAUCAGGUAGGGAUACCCGCUGAACUUAAGCAU
rnacentral:rRNA from 1 species